ACUGGAGGAGGGCAGCAUAUAGUCUGCCUUCUCCAGCAGAACAAGGGAGAUAGCUAGAGCCAUAAGGUCAAGUUUCAGGGUGAGACAGUGAGGAGCUGUGAUCCUGUGAAGAACAGGCUGUGGAAGGAGAGCUCAGUGUAGAGCUGGAGCAUGAACACCAUUCACUGCAGGCACAAUCAGAACAGCUGAGCAGUUGGAUCAAGCAUGCAUGGAGCUGCUCAAAUCUCCACACAAGCAGAAGACCAAGUGUCCAUCAAAGGAGUCAGCCAGCAAGAGCUACUUUGGAAGUGCUCAGGGAGAGAAAACCAGUGAGGCGAAAUACUGGAGCCUUGCAUGGCUGCAGAUCCUCGUGCCUUGGGUGCAUCGCUUCUCCCCGCGCGCCCCCGCCCCGCCUUGACAUCUGCUGCUUCUCGCCUACUGCCCCCUGCCCAGGAGCCGCUUCCCACCGCAAAGCUGCUGCUGCUGCCGCGGCUCCUGCUCGGGAGGAGCAAAAAGGCUCAGCCUACCCCAUCCACCUCGCCGGCUUGAGCGCUUGACGGACAGCGCCUCAACCCAAUCAGAGCUGGCGGAACGAGUGGGGCGCCUGGAGGGGGCGUAUCGCAGAGCCCGUUUCAGGCUCGGUUGGCCGGCAGCUCUCCCCACCCGCGUCCCCAGGAGCUGUCAGUGGGAAUGGUGCUGCACCGGGCUGCGGCUUUGCAGUGCAGGCGGCAGCUGGCAGGGUGCUGCAGCGGCGGGAGGGAAGCCAGUGCAAGCUCCCGGCAUGGGGACCCUAGAAAGGAGCCCACCUCGCCCCACUUCUGCGGGUGGUGGGUGCUAGACAGAUGCACCGGGAGUGGAAGAGUCACCUCUUCAUUGCCAUGGAAACUCCUCCCACUAGCAGGCUAUUCUCUGAUUGCUGGCCAGAGCUUCCCCUUUUUUAUUUAUUUAUUUCACCUCUGAUUGUUGCACCUUUUAGUAAACUUAAUUUUCCUUAAAAGAGUGAUUUUUGGGGGGUGCCUUCUAAGAUACAUGUACCUCCAUGCGUGCACACACACAGACUUAACAAUUGCACAGUCGGAGCUUGCCAAGCUCCUACAUUUCUUGCAUCGACAGAGGAAAAACUAAGAAAACCGUUGGCACAACGGUUGAUUUCAAGAGAUACCUGAAAUUCUUAAUUUUUCUUGCGUGGAAUUUCUUGUGCCCGUUUGCUGCCAUCUUACUACAUACCUAGAUACUGAAAAAUACAAAAUUCAGCAUCAGUCUCACUUUGAAUUAAAUGCCUUUUUUGUACCCAAACCACACAAAGUUUCACUUUUUCACAGGGUGUUUCAUGAGACAGCCACCUUCACCCACCCCCACUCCCCAAAGAGAUUGGCUUGCUUUUCUUCAAAGACUGGCUUAUUUUCUGUGGAAAGUGAGGCCAUUUUUAAAAACAAAACUUUGUGAAUAAAGGAAAAUUUUCUUGCCAAGACAGGCCGAUUUUUAACCUUGAAAGGAAAUUGGGAAAAACCCUUGCACUGUUCAGUUUUGUAUUUUGUUACAAAUGUUUUACUGCGUUUUAUCACCACCAGUUGUCUGAAUGUGAAUUCAUUGAACUAGGGAUGUCCUAGGGAGAGAGGCUGGAUGAGUGA